GACGAACGCUGGCGGCGUGCUUAACACAUGCAAGUCGAACGGUAAGGCCCUUCGGGGUACACGAGUGGCGAACGGGUGAGUAACACGUGGGUGAUCUGCCCUGCACUUUGGGAUAAGCCUGGGAAACUGGGUCUAAUACCGGAUAGGACCAUGGACUUCACGGUUUGUGGUGGAAAGCUUUUGCGGUGUGGGAUGGGCCCGCGGCCUAUCAGCUUGUUGGUGGGGUAAUGGCCUACCAAGGCGACGACGGGUAGCCGGCCUGAGAGGGUGUCCGGCCACACUGGGACUGAGAUACGGCCCAGACUCCUACGGGAGGCAGCAGUGGGGAAUAUUGCACAAUGGGCGCAAGCCUGAUGCAGCGACGCCGCGUGGGGGAUGACGGCCUUCGGGUUGUAAACCUCUCUCAGUGGGGACGAAGCGCAAGUGACGGUACCUACAGAAGAAGCACCGGCCAACAACGUGCCAGCAGCCGCCGCCG
rnacentral:rRNA from 1 species